AGAGUUUGAUCAUGGCUCAGGACGAACGCUGGCGGCGUGCUUAACACAUGCAAGUCGAACGGAAAGGCCCUUCGGGGUACUCGAGUGGCGAACGGGUGAGUAACACGUGGGUGAUCUGCCCUGCACUUUGGGAUAAGCCUGGGAAACUGGGUCUAAUACCGAAUAUGACCAUGCACUUCCUGGUGUGUGGUGGAAAGCUUUUGCGGUGUGGGAUGGGCCCGCGGCCUAUCAGCUUGUUGGUGGGGUAAUGGCCUACCAAGGCGACGACGGGUAGCCGGCCUGAGAGGGUGACCGGCCACACUGGGACUGAGAUACGGCCCAGACUCCUACGGGAGGCAGCAGUGGGGAAUAUUGCACAAUGGGCGCAAGCCUGAUGCAGCGACGCCGCGUGAGGGAUGACGGCCUUCGGGUUGUAAACCUCUUUCAGCACAGACGAAACGCAAGUGACGGUAUGUGCAGAAGAAGGACCGGCCAACUACGUGCCAGCAGCCGCGGUAAUACGUAGGGUCCGAGCGUUGUCCGGAAUUACUGGGCGUAAAGAGCUCGUAGGUGGUUUGUCGCGUUGUUCGUGAAAACUCACAGCUUAACUGUGGGCGUGCGGGCGAUACGGGCAGACCUGAGUACUGCAGGGGAGACUGGAAUUCCUGGUGUAGCGGUGGAAUGCGCAGAUAUCAGGAGGAACACCGGUGGCGAAGGCGGGUCUCUGGGCAGUAACUGACGCUGAGGAGCGAAAGCGUGGGGAGCGAACAGGAUUAGAUACCCUGGUAGUCC
rnacentral:rRNA from 1 species